rnacentral:snoRNA from 1 species
AAGUGCAAUAUUAAAACAAAAGUGGAGUCCUUUAAGCCCAUUGUGUAAAGACACACUCUGAGUUAUAACUCAGUGGCACUCCC